rnacentral:rRNA from 1 species
AUGCACGUGAUGUGGCACAACACCGGCAAUACCUUGCCGAUGAUGGUCAAUGGCUGGCAGACGGGCAGCAAAAAGGUUCUGGUGCUGCACACCAACAAGAACUUCGACCAGCAGAGGACCAACUGGGUGAUGCACCAGUACCACCUCGGGGACCUGGAGCAAGAGAAGGAGCGGGAGCUGGUCCUCUGCAAGAUUUUCUACCAGACGAACACUAGGGCCAGGAGUCGAGCAAGUUUCAACUGGGUUGUAGACUGCCCAGGCUUGGUUUUGUUUCUAACAGGCCCAGCCCAUGACGACAACGGGGCACAAAGAUCCAGCAGCCUAGCCAGUUUAGCCAGAUGCGGUGCCGAACUGUCGAUGAAGCGGGGCAAGCGCAAUCGACAGCGGGCUGAUGCGGGGGAUGAAGCUGAGACCUCGAUGAAGCGGCGCAAGCGCAACUGA